rnacentral:rRNA from 1 species
AAAGUGCGGCUGGAUCACCUCCUUAGAGUUUGAUCCUGGCUCAGAUUGAACGCUGGCGGCAGGCCUAACACAUGCAAGUCGAGCGGCAGCACGGGUACUUGUACCUGGUGGCGAGCGGCGGACGGGUGAGUAAUGCCUAGGAAUCUGCCUGGUAGUGGGGGAUAACGCUCGGAAACGGACGCUAAUACCGCAUACGUCCUACGGGAGAAAGCAGGGGACCUUCGGGCCUUGCGCUAUCAGAUGAGCCUAGGUCGGAUUAGCUAGUUGGUGAGGUAAUGGCUCACCAAGGCGACGAUCCGUAACUGGUCUGAGAGGAUGAUCAGUCACACUGGAACUGAGACACGGUCCAGACUCCUACGGGAGGCAGCAGUGGGGAAUAUUGGACAAUGGGUGAAAGCCUGAUCCAGCCAUGCCGCGUGUGUGAAGAAGGUCUUCGGAUUGUAAAGCACUUUAAGUUGGGAGGAAGGGCAUUAACCUAAUACGUUAGUGUUUUGACGUUACCGACAGAAUAAGCACCGGCUAACUCUGUGCCAGCAGCCGCGGUAAUACAGAGGGUGCAAGCGUUAAUCGGAAUUACUGGGCGUAAAGCGCGCGUAGGUGGUUUGUUAAGUUGGAUGUGAAAUCCCCGGGCUCAACCUGGGAACUGCAUUCAAAACUGACAAGCUAGAGUAUGGUAGAGGGUGGUGGAAUUUCCUGUGUAGCGGUGAAAUGCGUAGAUAUAGGAAGGAACACCAGUGGCGAAGGCGACCACCUGGACUGAUACUGACACUGAGGUGCGAAAGCGUGGGGAGCAAACAGGAUUAGAUACCCUGGUAGUCCACGCCGUAAACGAUGUCAACUAGCCGUUGGGAGCCUUGAGCUCUUAGUGGCGCAGCUAACGCAUUAAGUUGACCGCCUGGGGAGUACGGCCGCAAGGUUAAAACUCAAAUGAAUUGACGGGGGCCCGCACAAGCGGUGGAGCAUGUGGUUUAAUUUCGAAGCAACGCGAAGAACCUUACCAGGCCUUGACAUCCAAUGAAACUUUCCAGAGAUGGAUUGGGUGCCUUCGGGAACAUUGAGACAGGUGCUGCAUGGCUGUCGUCAGCUCCGUGUCGUGAGAUGUUGGGUAAGUCCCGUAACGAGCGCAACCCUUGUCCUUAGUUUCCAGCACGUCUUGGUGGGCACUCUAAGGAGACUGCCGGUGACAAACCGGAGGAAGGUGGGGAUGACGUCAAGUCAUCAUGGCCCUUACGGCCUGGGCUACACACGUGCUACAAUGGUCGGUACAGAGGGUUGCCAAGCCGCGAGGUGGAGCUAAUCCCAGAAAACCGAUCGUAGUCCGGAUCGCAGUCUGCAACUCGACUGCGUGAAGUCGGAAUCGCUAGUAAUCGCGAAUCAGAAUGUCGCGGUGAAUACGUUCCCGGGCCUUGUACACACCGCCCGUCACACCAUGGGAGUGGGUUGCACCAGAAGUAGCUAGUCUAACCUUCGGGGGGACGGUUACCACGGUGUGAUUCAUGACUGGGGUGAAGUCGUAACAAGGUAGCCGUAGGGGAACCUGCGGCUGGAUCACCUCCU